CCUACGGGAGGCUGCAGUCGAGAAUCAUUCACAAUGGGGGAAACCCUGAUGGUGCGACGCCGCGUGGGGGAAUGAAGGUCUUCGGAUUGUAAACCCCUGUCAUGUGGGAGCAAAUUAAAAAGAUAGUACCACAAGAGGAAGAGACGGCUAACUCUGUGCCAGCAGCCGCGGUAAUACAGAGGUCUCAAGCGUUGUUCGGAAUCACUGGGCGUAAAGCGUGCGUAGGCUGUUUCGUAAGUCGUGUGUGAAAGGCGCGGGCUCAACCCGCGGACGGCACAUGAUACUGCGAGACUAGAGUAAGGGAGAGGGAACCGGAAUUCUCGGUGUAGCAGUGAAAUGCGUAGAUAUCGAGAGGAACACUCGUGGCGAAGGCGGGUUCCUGGACAUUAACUGACGCUGAGGCACGAAGGCCAGGGGAGCGAAAGGGAUUAGAUACCCCAGUAGUC
rnacentral:rRNA from 1 species